UGUGAGUCGGGGCGUCGUAGCGCAGCUGCAGCAGCACCCGGGCGCGUCCGGGGCUGUGGGAGCCGAAAGUUGGGGUCUUGCUCUGUCGCUCAGGCUGGAGUGCAGUGGCAUGAUCAUGGGUCACUGCAGCCUUGAACUCCUGGGCUUAAGGGAUCUUCUCAUCUCAGUCUCCUAAAUAGCUGGGACUACAGGCUCAGGCCACCAUGCCUGCAUGAGGCCCUCACCAGAUACAGCCACCUGAUCUUGGACUUCACAGCCUCCAGAAAUAGAUGCCUUCUGCCAUGAUUAUAAGUUUCCUGAGGCCUCCCCAGCCAUGCAGAACUUCCAGUGAUUCAAGUUUGACACACCACACCACGGUGGAUGUGCCUUGUCAUGACACAUCUCAGCAGCACUAGAAGAUACAUCCAAAGUCCUGUGAGCAAGGUCUGUGGUAUCUGUUUAUUAUGGCAGCCCAGUAAGACUAAGACAGGCCAUCACAAGACGUGAACGUUUUGGACCUUCUCUUGGGCCCUAGUAAACAGAAAUCAGAAGGAAGAAAACUUUGCUAAUGCUCUGCCAAGCCUCACUUUUCUCUCAUGAUUAGAAGGUUUGAUGUUAUCCAGAAUUACUCAUGGAAGAUGGAAGAGCUGCAGCAUUACAAUGAAAGCCAUCUUACAACAGCCUGAGCUAUUUAUUAAACUAAUCCACGUUCUGAACAGUUAUUGCUACUGGAAACCAGUCCCGAUCCAGACCACAAAAGACGAUUCUUGGAUCUUGCACAAGAAAGAAAGGGAAGAUCUGGCAAGAGUUAGCGUGCAGUUCUACAUUGUGACAAUUCAUGAGAGCUAAGGACUGGCUGUCUCUUGGGACAAAUAGGCUUUCUUGAGUCUGCAUGAGGCCCUCACCAGAUACAGCCACCUGAUCUUGGACUUCACAGCCUCCAGAAAUAUGCCCUGGAAUACACUUGUGUCAGUGACAAAUGCUGCUUUGCUGUGCUACAUCGAGUACAAGCACAGAACACAAACUCUGCCUUCUUUUCUCAAGUCCAGUGAUUCAAGUUUGACACACCACACCACGGUGGAUGUGCCUUGUCAUGACACAUCUUCUCAGCAGCACUAGAAGAUACAUCCAAAGUCCUGUGAGCAAGGACACAGCGAGAAGAUGGCUGUCUACAAGCCAGGAAGAGAGUCCUCACCAGAACCAAACCCUGCUGGACUUUGAUCUUGGACUUCCCAGCCUCUAAAACUGUGAAGACAUAAAUUUCUGUUGUUAAACCCACACAGGUCUGUGGUAUCUGUUUAUUAUGGCAGCCCAGUAAGACUAAGACAGGCCAUCACAAGACAUGAAUGUUUUGGACCUUCUCUUGGGCCCUAGUAAACAGAAAUCAGGUACGCAAAAGGGGUAAGCAUAUAAUUUCCUUUAUUUUUAUUUUUAAUGUGUAAGCCUUAGGUUUUUAUUUAUUUAUUUGGUGAAGACAAUCACAUUGUGUACGUACAAUGUAAUUAUAUUGUUGACGAGAAGUUACUUAAAAUUUUUUAAAAAUUCUAAUCGAUUUCUAGAUGUCCAAAUGAGAAGAUAGCAUUUAUAUACCAUCAGAACAUAAAAUAAUUCAAAAAAAUAAAUUUAUAAAACAAUAUGUAUUAUAUUGAGAGAAAGAGAGGGAGAGAGUAUUGGAAGAAUAUAUGCAAAUACAAUGUGAUAAUGUGAUGUCUUUGUGAGAAUGCUAUAUGUCAUUUUCUUUGUUUAUAUGAAUUUUUACAAUUUUUACCUUUGAAAUAUAAAAAAGAGAGAAUAAAAGUCAUUGAAAAAAUCAAAAGUAACUAUUUUCAUAGGUGAGUAAGUAUACAUCUUUAACAGAAC
rnacentral:lncRNA from 1 species